rnacentral:rRNA from 1 species
GCACCGCUGACGACCGGCGAACGGGUGCGUAACGCGUAUAGAAUCUGCCUUGUACAGGAGGAUAGCCUUUAGAAAUGAAGAUUAAUACUCCAUAAUGUUGGGAAGUGGCAUCACUAUCUAACUAAAGAUUUAUCGGUACAAGAUGACUAUGCGGUCCUAUUAAGCAAGAGGGAAAGGUAACGGCUUACCAGGGCAACGAUAGGUAGGGGGUCUGAGAGGAUUAUUCCCCCACACUGGUACUGAGACACGGACCCAGACUCCUACGGGAGGCAGCAGUGAGGAAUAUUGGUCAAUGGAGGCAACUCUGAACCAGCCAUGCCGCGUGCAGGAAGACUGCCCUAUGGGUUGUAAACUGCUUUUAUACAGGAAGAAACAGUCGUACGUGUACGGCCUUGACGGUACUGUAAGAAUAAGCACCGGCUAACUCCGUGCCAGCAGCCGCGGUAAUACGGAGGGUGCAAGCGUUAUCCGGAAUCAUUGGGUUUAAAGGGUCCGCAGGCGGUCAAUUAAGUCAGAGGUGAAAUCCCAUAGCUUAACUAUGGAACUGCCUUUGAUACUGGUUGACUUGAGUUAUACGGAAGUAGAUAGAAUAAGUAGUGUAGCGGUGAAAUGCAUAGAUAUUACUUAGAAUACCGAUUGCGAAGGCAGUCUACUACGUAUAUACUGACGCUCAUGGACGAAAGCGUGGGGAGCGAACAGGAUUAGAUACCCUGGUAGUCCACGCCGUAAACGAUGGACACUAGUUGUUGGGCAAUAGUUCAGUGACUAAGCGAAAGUGAUAAGUGUCCCACCUGGGGAGUACGAUCGCAAGAUUGAAACUCAAAGGAAUUGACGGGGGCCCGCACAAGCGGUGGAGCAUGUGGUUUAAUUCGAUGAUACGCGAGGAACCUUACCAGGGCUUAAAUGUAGAGUGACAGGGGUAGAGAUACCUUUUUCUUCGGACACUUUACAAGGUGCUGCAUGGUUGUCGUCAGCUCGUGCCGUGAGGUGUCAGGUUAAGUCCUAUAACGAGCGCAACCCCUAUCGUUAGUUGCUAGCAGGUAAAGCUGAGGACUCUAGCGAGACUGCCGGUGCAAACCGUGAGGAAAGGUGGGGAUGACGUCAAAUCAUCACGGCCCUUACGUCCGGGGCUAACACACGGGCUACAAGGGUAUGGGACAAUGAGCACCCACAACGCCGAGUUGGAGCGAAUCUAUAAACCAUAUUCACAGUUCGGAUCGAAGUCGGCAACUCCACCCCGUGAAGCUGG